rnacentral:lncRNA from 1 species
AGAGAGCAAUGCCAAGGACAAGGAGAAGCCUUCUAAUCACGAGCUUAUCACUAUUAGUAACAUUGGUGCAGGAAACUUAGCUCAAUAUGAACAAGUAUGAAGGGAUACACUAAAUUAAAUCCAAAAAGUUUAGUUAUCCUAUGAUGUUCUACUUUCAGUCUACCAAUCCAAAUGCCAUUUAACAAUCUCAACUAUAUAUAGGCUCCUAGUUAAUUGUUCGACCUUUCGAUUAUGAUGUAAUAGUUAAGGUUUUUAUGUAACAACAUAGCAUGUCAGAAUAUGACAACAAAAUACCAUGUAUUGGAGGGGAAGUGCAUCCAUGUAUUGUAGGUUUGAGAAAAUAUUCCUUCAACAUGCCUAUUGUUGUCAUGCUGGAUUUGUAUUAAGGUUGAAUUGUAUACUUCUUUGUUUUGGCUUUGUUCAUGGUUUUGAAUAUUUGAGUAAGAAUAAUGUUUGGCUCCCAUCCAUUUCCACCUCCAUCUCUUUAAAUGUGAAGAGAAAUUAGAAAAAUAAGGAAUAUGAUAUGUGAUGUGACAGGAAAUGCAGAGAGAUAUAGAAAGAAAAAUGAGUGGAAAAAAAAUGGAAGAGAAAGUGAAGUGUGAAUGCAACAUUACUCAACAUCUCUUUGAGUAAUGAUGCUUAGCACUCCAAAGUUGGACAAUUUGACUAUCUGUGUGUAAGACGGCAUAUAUAUAUAUAUAUAUAUAUAUAUAUAUAUAUAUAUAUAUAUAUAUAUAUUGGAUGUUUGUUAAAUGAAGAGUUAGAACAUGGACUCUAAUCUCCUACCUCCCGCAAAGAGUCACUGCACAAACAUUAAAAAAGAAAAUUAAUUAAGAAGAACUCCCUAAAUUUCAAAACGAGAGCAACGUCCAUGACAACCCAAUGGAAAGAGGAAUAACAAGAAAGUCUUUAGGGGCGUUUAUUACAAGUUAUCAAAAAUCAUUUUCGGGUAAGUGGAUUCCCAGGAAUACUAUGAUGAGAAUGUUAUUUCUGACAUCUUUUAAAAAACUGUUUGAUUGAUAAAUUCAAUUCCUAGUAUGUUUUUAAAAUUCAUUUAAUUAAAAUAUUUAAAAAUAUAAAAUUUAAAGGAAAAAGAGAAGUUAGUGGGAAAUAACUUCUAUUUCCAUGGCAAUGCAAGAUAUCAUAUCAUCCAUCCUUGAACAUGGAAAUAAAGUUUGGAGAAAAACAAUGUAAAUUGCAUGUCUGAGAAUCCACAAUAUCUGAGAAUACUUUUUUCUGAAACUUAUACCAAACAUGAGAAUGUUACAUUCCCAACCUAACUUACAUGAGAAUGUUUAAAGAUCCCUUCUACCAAACGCAAGCAAAAUCAUCAGAUAGCAUUUAUUCAUGAAAGGAACCCAUUUAUAAAACCAAAUACAUCAAUCAAUCAAUAAAAGUUUAAACUCACCAAUAUGAAUUGCAUUCAUCUGCUACAUAUUUCAUUCGUGUGAGAAGAAAUAAGCUAAUUAGUACAAGUUUUGACUUGUUUUGACUUUUGAGGUGAAAUGGAUUGUUAUUGUUGAGUAUGGCUCAUGGCGAUCAAAUGCAUUUGAGACCAUCUAUGAUCGCUGGAAUGUACAUGAGACCACCUUUGAGAAGCUUCAACAAUUUAAGGAUGCUACGAUGAUUAUAAAUUAAGAGGGAGUGUUAAAUGAUAGUUAAUUUAUAACUUGAAAAGUUAUGAAUGAGUUAAAUUUUGUUUAUGUCCUUUUAUGCAUUUCUUAGUGGUUACAAGCAUAAUGAUGCUAGAAGUUAAUGUCCUUUAUGUAGUUGCAUAACUUAUAUCCUUUCAUCUUCUCUAUUCACUAGUAUUAAAUAGAGAAGCAUUCUAACUUCUACAUUAAGAAAUAUCAGAAAAAUAAAAAAGUCUCUAUCAUUUUCCUAAAUUUUCUACUACUACACUUCUGCUUCUCCAAGAGGCAUCAAAAGGAAAACAAAACAAGUGAAUGAUAUUAUAAAAUCUAUUCCAUGAUGAGUAAACAUUCAACUAGGCAAAAGGUGAUAAUCAUUGAAAGCAGACACCGGCCUUACUGAGUAUGUUGAUUACUGGGACUCCCCACUUGGUUAUGUAAAAUAGUUGAGCUCCACUAUGUAUAGGUAUAUUGCACUAUAAUAUUCUACUGAAUUUUGAGCACUUGUUUACUAAAUACCUCACCUUCUUAUUUAUAGAAAUGAGAAUUUAGUAAAUUGGUUAUUUUGUUCCAAUUAGCUGAAACGAGAUGGAAGGUUAUAGUCCAAAAUGGUUUCAUAAAGCCAAGCCAUUCAUAUGUGUCGUGUUCAUUCAAUCUGGAUAUGCAGGUAUGGAUGUUCUGUGCAAGGCUGCAUUGAACAAUGGAAUGAGCAAUUAUGUUCUUGUUGUCUACCGUCAUGUUGUUGCCUUUGUUGUCAUGGCUCCUUUUGCAUUGAUCUUGGACAAGUAUGUAUCUCUCUUCCAUGUGUGUGUGAUAGCUUUUAUUUCUUCAGAAUCAAUUACAGAACUCAAAAAGCUAUGUAUUCACAAAAGUUUCACACACAUGUUUAGAUCAGUUCUUCUUUAAUUUCAUCAGAAUCAAUUCUGAAAUGCUUCUCACAAAAAAAGCUGCUGUGCAGAAUUGACUCUGGCUUCCGAAUCAAUUGUAGAAUAGUUCCCGAACAGUAGAAUGAUUUCCAAAUAUUAACUGACCUGAUGCUACAUUCUCUUAACAGGAACAUAAGGCCAAAGAUGACAUUUUCAAUCUUUGUGAAGAUAGUGGCACUGAGCUUGUUAGAGUAAUAAUUAAUUUCUUACAUGACUAAGCUAAACAUAUUCUUCUAUCCUGUGGAAAAAUCUUGCUUAACAUAGAUCUUGCUCUGAUAUGGCAGGCCAGUUAUUGCUCAGAAUCUGUAUUUUUUGGGAAUGAAGUACACAACAGCAACCUUUGCAGUUUCCAUGUACAAUAUCCUUCCUGCCAUCACUUUCCUCAUGGCUUACAUUCUUAAGUACUGUUUCCAUUCCCUACAAUUUAAGAAUAUUUCAAAUUUGAUAAUAAAGCUAAACAGAACAUGGCUCAAUAAUGAGGAUUAUUAAAUAAGUGUACAUAACAUUUUUUAAUACAUAUUGUUACUAAAAAUAAUGUACGACUCAUCUCUUAUUAACUUGGUUUAGGAGGUGUAAAUAAGCGUGACUGUUAUGAAAAAAACAUGGCCGCGUUCCGUUUUAAAAACCUCCAAAACCUUAAUGUCGUGGCCGAAAUCACAUUCAUGAAUGUUGAUUUAAAACCAUGCUUGUAAUCAAAAGAGUUUCUUGUGCCAUUUGUACUCAAUUUAUUAGAAAUUUAAUUUAAGCAUUUUAUUUUCAGGCUUGAGAAGAUAAAAAUAAAAAGUAUACGUAGUCAAGCAAAGGUGUUUGGAACUUUAGCCACGGUUGCAGGUGCCAUGGUGAUGACACUAAUAAAAGGUCCUGAACUUGAGCUUUUUGGGACUCAUGGAGAAAGCAAUACCCACAUCCAGCAUAAUGGUGGGGUAAAUCUUCAACAUGCAAUAAAGGGAUCAGUGAUGAUCACAAUUGGCUGCCUUGGUGGUGCAGGUUUCAUGAUUCUCCAAGUGAGUUUUUCAUCUAUGAGAAAAGAUAAAAUUUAAUUAGUGCUAUAAAACUCCUGUUAUUUGCGGGAUCUAGACAUAAUUUAGAUAUAUUUUUACGAAUUAAAUGUAGGUAAAUUUUGCAUUUUUGCAAGAGACUAAUAUCAUAAUUGAUAAUUUAAAUUUGUGACCGCAAAGUCACCAGCAACAUUACUGUUGCAUUGAGACUAGAGAUUGAGUUUUUCAUCUAUCCAAAUAAAUAAUUUUUCUCUUAAUUUGAUGGGUUACCCUAAUCUGAUAUAGUUUCAUCUUUUUCUCUAGGCUAUUACCCUUGAAGCCUACCCUGCUGAUCUCUCUCUCACAGCAUGGAUAUGUUUGUUGGGAGCAAUUGAAGGUGGCAUAGUGGGCCUGGUCAUGGAAAGGGGUAACCCUGCUCCAGUUUGGUCUUUGAAUGAGGAUACAAAAUUGUUGGCUGCUGUCUACAGUGAAAGUUUUUUAAUGUUAUACUCCGAUACAGUUCUUGACCAGCCAUAAAAUUAACAAAUUCACAUUUACAAUCGAUAGAGUUUAAAAAGAUGAUCAAAAAAGUCAUUAGAAGCAACAAUGAAAUCCAAAGGCAUAAAAAAUAUACUAAAACGUAAAACAAAUUUAGGAGGUCACUACACACACGGGACAUAAAUUAUACUCUGCUUCUUCAUUAGUUUUUUUUUUUUUUUUUUAAAUAAGUAACAUGAUUCAUCCGCACACAAAUUUUUUCCAUUUCAUUUCCACCUAAUUUUACUUCUAUUUUUCUCUCCAUUUUAUUUUCUAUUUUAUUAUUGUAUUAUAUUUCAUUCUUUCUAUUUCUUAUUUCUCUUAUUCAUCCACUCUUUUCCACUUAAAAUGAGGUGGUUAAACAAAAGUAUAAAUACCACCAUAUUAGCAUCUUCCCUCUCAAUAUUUCAAGUUUAUAUGAAUAAAAGAUAAAAGAGCUUGCUGUGUUUGAAAAAACUUAGCUUAUAUUAUAAGCAUUUAAAUAAGUGUACGUCUGAGUGAACUAAUAAAAACAGUUUAUAAGUUAUAAACUUAUAAAUUAGUUGUCUAAAUGACUGAUGAGAAAUUUUGAGUUAAAUAAGUCAUCGUCCAAUCACAUUGGAAAUAAGUGAGUUGAAAUUUAAAUAUUUUAUUUAUUCAUUUAUUUAUAAAAAAAAUCUUAUUGAUUCAUUAAGUUGGGGUUAGUAACCCAAUGGGUCAUUUAGACAUCCCUCAUUCUUUUGAGCUUAUUUUUAUAAGUUUCUUCAAAUAAACACUUUUUUUAAUGUAGUUCUCAACUUAUUUUAAUAAGUUUUUGAAAUAUGCUUAUGAAUAAUUAAGCACUUCGUAAGAAGUACUUACUGUAAAUACUUAAGCUGUUUGCCGUGAAUAUGUACAUGUAUAAUAACUAUGUUCUUCCUCUAUAAAUUUCUAAAAUUUAUUUGCAGGGCAUAGUUUGCUCAGGAAUGGCUUAUUACAUCCAAGGAGCAGUGAUGAAAUACAAAGGCCCAGUCUUUGUAACAGCAUUCAAUCCUCUAUGCAUGGUCAUUGUGGCUAUAUUGGGCUCUUUUUGUUUGGCUGAGCAAAUGUAUCUUGGAAGGUAAUUAUAAACAUCGAGUCCAACCAAUAAAUCACAUGUUCUUGUUUAGUGUUUUUAUCACUGUUCAACUAAUAAAAUUGUAUGUUGACCCAAAAAAAAAAAACUAAUAAAAUUGUAUCAUGUCAUUUAAUUGAUAUUGUACAAUUUUAUUGGUGGGGCAGAGAAUGAGACGCAAACGAAGUCAUAAAAUCUUGAUCCCUACAACAUAUGUCUAAAGACCUCAAUCAAAAAACAAAUUUAUGAAAAAGUUGAACUCACGUAUAUAUCUUGUGCUAAAUUUUACAGGGUGAUUGGAGCCAUUGUCAUUCUUUUAGGGUUGUAUCUAGUGGUGUGGGGUAAAAAUAAAGAUUAUGACUCACCACCAAGUCCAAUUAUUAACGAGCAUGUAUUGCCAGAUAAGCAAACUACAGAGAGCAAUGCCAAGGACAAGGAGAAGCCUUCUAAUCACGAGCUUAUCACUAUUAGUAACAUUGGUGCAGGAAACUUAGCUCAAUAUGAACAAGUAUGAAGGGAUACACUAAAUUAAAUCCAAAAAAUUUAGUUAACCUAUGAUGUUCUACUUUCAGUCAACCAAUCCAAAUGCCAUUUAACAAUCUCAACUAUAUAUAGACUCCUAGGUAAUUGUUCGACCUUUCGAUUAUUGAUAUAAUAGUCAAGGUUUUUGAUGUAACAAUAUAGCAUGUCAGAAUAUGACAACAAAAUACCAUCAAAGAAAGAAGAAGCAAUAACUUUGAGUCAGAAAAAAAACAUUAAGUUAGUUUUAAGUUGUCACGACCUGAAAUCCUAAGUCGUGACCGGCGCACAGACUAACACUCUAGUCUGGCAAGC